rnacentral:lncRNA from 1 species
UUUUUCAUAUGUAUGGGUUAUUUUCUUUAAUAAUGACACACAAAUGCUGUGUAUUUGUUUGGUAAUAAAAAAUUUGUUCAAACCAUGCACAUGGAGAAGACAUUGACGUAACAAUAGAUUCCGCCAGGCAGAAACUCGAUGCAGUACAUCGAGCUCAGAUCCUAAUCCUGCAAUUUCCAGUACAUCGAUCAGCAGCAGCCCCCACAUACUCUUUUAUUAUUAUUGUUUUUUUUUUUUAAAAAAAAAAAACUCUGUUUAUUUUAUUUUUAUGUUAUUCUGUUUACAGAAAAUCUACUCAAAUUAAUGAACAGGGAUUAAUUAAAAGAUAGAUAGAAUUUUCCAAUAAAUCAGUCUUAAUUAAUGUUAAACAUGUCCAUGCAUGUGGCAAACAAUUGCAUGUACGUAACAUGUAAUUUUUGGCUCUUGACGUAAAGUUUUUGAAUAAGUGGGAGACACGAAUAAGUGGAAGACAUGUAACUUUUGACUUUAGCACCAAAAUAAAAAGUUGAGAAAAAAAUUAUAUUAUUUUAAUACCCACCAUUAUUGAUUUUUGGGCAUUACAUUUCCUAUAAAUUGAGGCUUCAUUUGCUUCUUCAAUCAUCCCAUUUUUUAUUCAAUUCAAGUGAGAGUGUCAAUAGGUGUAAGUUGAGAGCUUUAAACUCUAAUUUUAGUAUUUUUGAGAGUUUGGGUGUAUUGGGAUUUUGGGUUGUGAGACAAAAUAGUACAAUAUUUGUAACUCAUUUUCAUUAAUAAAAUAUUUCUUUUUGUUUUUACCCGUGAACAUAGGUUAAAAGUUGAAUUACGUAAAUUUUGGUGUCCCUGUGUGAUCAUUAUCGUGUCUGCUGAAGGAUUUCCUAACAAUUAAAUCUUAAUUAUGAUUCUGCUUGGAACUUGUCUUAAUAAUUAGUUGGCCCCGAAUCUUGCAGGGUCCCUAUCCCUUAAAAUUAGGGUUUAUAAUUUCCAAUCUCUUUGUCUAAAUUAAUCUUUGGCUUGCUGAUGCUAUAAUCAUCCUUCCACCUCCUUCAUUCGAAUAUUCUUUCAGCUUGAAUUUUAAAUGUUAUUGCAUAUAUAUCUUGAUAAUGGGUUUCUUUGAUAAUAAUUAAGGUUGGCAAAGAAAUAAUAAAAGAAACUGAAAAUUGGCAACAUUCCAAAUUAAUUAGUGAAACAAAAGGUACUAAUAAUCAAUAAAGCACUUUAGAAAAGUUAUAAUGUAUGCAUGGUACAAAUAAUUUGAGAUAUAUAUAUAUAUAUAAUGAAUUUAUCAUAUCAAUAAUCAUUAUGCAUGCUCAAAAUGAUUGAAUUUGAUAGUAUAUGGCUUCAAGAAAAAGUAGGUUUUGUUAUAGUAUAACAAAUGGUAUCACAAACGGGAAUCCAAUUGAUACCUUAGUGGAUUUCUUUAAUCAUGCAUAAUAAGUUUCGGCUUUCUGUUCUUAUUUUCUCAAGAAAAUUACAAACAAGAUAUACAUAAUGCUAAUCUUACUAAGCUACACACUUAAAUUAGAAUAUUGUUGUCAUCCUUUAUGAUUAGAGAGGAUCUAUCAAUGGAAAAAUUAAAAAGAAAAGAUAUAGAUAUCUAUCAUUGACCCACCAUCACCCACUAAGUAGGUCUUUAAUGACAAAAUCUCUUUGUGAUGAAAUGAGCCACUAAAGAUGACAUAUAUGAGUCAUCCAAUGUUAAAUAAAUUAUGUUUUUUUUAGCUUUAAUUUGUCAGUUCCUUAAUCAAGAUGUUGACAGAAACUUAUUAACAAUUAGGCAACUAACCCCACCUGUUUUGGAAUGGAACAUUAUUUAGCUGUCAACUCAAGGCUCUCAAUGAUCAGACUAGUCCUAGAAAGCAAAUCCAGGAUAAAUUAGUGUCAUAAUCAAAAACCUAAUCUUUACUACUUAAAAUUUAUUAGUGGGGAGGAAAGCACUAGUGAGCUCUAAAAGAUUAACCAUUUAGAAAGUCCAUGUUUGUGUUUGUAUUGCUGAUCCAUAUAAAGUGAUGCAAAUGCACAAGAAACAUAUAAUUCAACGUGAAUGUUGCAGAUGUUACUAAUUACCAGUCUAUUAUUCUGAUUCUGCUGCUAAACAAGUUGCAAUUCCAGCAGCACAAAUUAAGGACACCAAUUUGAAAUUUUAUUAAUUUGCUCAGCGUCUCGAUUAACCAUCAGGUAAGAAUAGUUUGCUUUCUUUUGCUAGAAAAUGCAUAAUAUGAAUUUACAUAUUGUAUCCAGUUCCUAUUUUCAAUAGAAUUAACAAGACAGGAAAAAGAAGGGAGGGAAUCCGGGAUUAUUAGUUUGGUAAUUAUAAACUAAGUCAAAGCUCAUCUCUUCAGUGCAUAACUCAAUUGCAACCUAUCUUCAGAUCUUCUGGCCAUCCAAACUCCUCCAAGAACGCCAAUACAACUCCAUUUGACCAACCAAAACCAGUCUGUAAUUCAUCAGAGCAAAUGAGGUACAUAGAUGGUCAUUGUUAAGAAUAAACAAUACUCUUAUUAAAGCAUUCUCAGUAUUCAUCAAUUAUUCAACUUAAGAAUCCCUAUUUAUUAAAAGGCAUACUUCUAUAGCUAGUUAGGGUUACAAACUAGAGUUGAAUAAAUCAAUCCAUAUGGGUACAAAGUUUGAGGUAAAUGCAUUAUUACUUUGGUUUGAACCUUUCCAUCUUUGGCAUUCCUACAAUACACGUGUUAGAGUGAUAAAAUUCGGGGAAAAUAAAAAAACACAGCUGAGGAAGUUAUGUCUUAGCUAAUAAACGUCAUAUUCGGGCAAUUACCUGGCUACUAGUUCUAUUACUUAUCCAGUAAUCCAACCAUUGCCCCUUUUCUUUAUUCCAGAAAACAGAGUUUAUUGCCUGUUUUCUUGCUUGAGCAGCUUUCAAAAAACUCUCAGCAGUUCUAUUGUCUCCAACAAUUUGUGCCAUGGAGGCAAUGUCAAGUUCCAUCUGGAUCAACAUACAAACAUCACUUAAAUAUGGGGAAAAAAAUAGAUGGUCUUCUAAGUCUCUAGACUUACUAAGAAGGCAAAGACUUUUACCUUGAGUAUAAAUAUAUUUAAAUCAACAGGUAAUAUUGAUGUUAUUGCCAAUGUGGUGAAAUCUGAAGUUUUCCUGCAAGAAGACAAUUAAACUCCAGAAAUUUGUCAACUGAGUUUUGUCUGAUAAUUAAUUAAUUGAAUCACACAGUAGAGGAAAUGACUUUUUCUCCAACUGAUCUUAAUUAUGUCAUUUUUUUCCUAAUGGAUACUGGUUUGAUGCAAGAUAAUUAAUUACCUCAUCUAUAUAGUACUAAAAUCCCAUCCUGAUUCAGUAGUGGAAGCCAAUUCCCGAUAAAAUUGCUCUUUCUCAUAAGCAUUCAAGAGCUUAGAAGCAUGCGCCUUAUCCUGGUAGAGGAAAGAAGUUAAAACUUAUCCUAAUAAAAUUUCUUUUCGCACCUCAUGCUCAGGUAAUUCUGAUGGAAAGAAGAAUAUACAAUGGUUGAAGAUUCAGGCCUCAGUUUGUUCCACAUUCCAUAAUACCGACUCAAUGUAUGAUUUCUACCAUGAUCCUCUUGGACGUUGACCUUAUGUAUUCCUACAAUACAUUAACAUGUAUAUCAUCAGCUACAUAAUUACGUCCAAGCAAACAAAGAAACGAAUCUUGCGCAGGGGAUGAUACUAUUUAUGUAAAUAGUAUGUAUUCAGUAUACAUGAAUUCUAAAAUUGAUGUUCUUUGAGCAGGGCAGGGAGAGCCUUUUUAACCAAAUCUAAGUCAUCAGUUCGAUUGUAAAUAUCGUAAACCAUUGCACUGAGAAGGGGAGGCUGGCUGCAAGACAUGAACCCAUGCCAUGCCAAUAGCAAGCAUGGUGCACAGAUUCAAAAGAAAGCAUAUACGAUACAUGGUCAGAAAGAUGGGAACAUUUUACAUGUAUUCAAUGCAAAAGAUAUUGCAGAAGCUAUGCCUAAAACUUUGGUCUGAUGGGAAACAAAAUGACGAAGAAGCAUGAUCUGACAGUUGUAACUAAUACAAUAGAUGUUGGAGCAAAAAUAAGUAAGAUAACACAAAAAGAAGCAUUACCUCCUAUUGGUGCAAUAAGCUCUCGCAUAAUUAAGAACAUAACCAUAUGUAUCAAUAAGAGAAAUGAGAUUGGUCACAAUUGCCUUCGCUGUCAUAUACAUCUUACUUGCUAGCAAGCCCCUAUACGCACAUUGAAUCACACCCAUAAAAAAAUUUAGCAGCACAAAAGCACUUGACAUUAGAGAAAAAAAAUAUAUCUUUAACGUCACUGAACUGGCAUUGAAAAAGAAAAAAUAGAACACAUACAAAAACUAACAUAAUAACCCAGUAUGAAUCCCAAUAGUAGACCUCUGUAAACCGGGAACCUGGAAUAACAAACGGUCGAGGCAGGGGAAGCAAAGUGUGAAACUUAGGCCGGUUCAAUACCGAACCAGAAACUCUCCGAGACAAAUUCUUCCACAAAGCAUGCACCUCAAGAGCCCAUGCUCUCACUUGAGGGUUCUUCACCUUAGGCAAGAACCCAUCUGGUUCGGGCACAAAAUCUGGUGGUUCAGCGUACAUAAGAUCGUCUCCUGCACCAUCAAAAUAUUCGUGCAAGAACUCCUUGAAAUCAGGAACCAAAACUGACCCAGUUGCAUUUCUCGGUAGCUUGUGAAAAGCGGUAACAGUUGUGGAAAGAUUGGACUUCAACGACAAAUUAACGUAAAGUUUUGGAUCAAAGUAUUUUUGUUCGAAAGUUGCGAGAGUAGUUUCUUGUACACGCUCCAAGAAAGUGACCAACGGGGUUGUGGGUACGACGGGGCCUCUGUCAAAAUUGCCUGUGGUUGGCUAUGAGAUAGCUUUUGCGACAGUCCCUGAUGCUGAUACUGAUGCAAGCAACAAAAACAACAACAAAAGAGAGAAAGAGGACGCGGGGUGGUUACCGUUAUUGUUACUGCUACAAGAAUGAAAAGACGCCAUGUGCAUGAUUGGAGAUGAAUGAAGAGAGGGAUUGUUGCUUAGGAGACAUGGUGGGUUUCUACGUAAAAGGAAUGUCAACUGAAGUAAAUGGGUUUUGUUCGUUUUGUGGAAAGAUUAGUCACUAGAAUUGGAUUGACUCUAAUUUCUGAUUCCAAACGGCUAAUUUUGUUCUAUCAUUUGUUUGUUAGCAUUCGUGAUCAGACAUUGACAUAUUAAACUGAAACUUUCUUUUGGCUAUUAAUUUUGUUUAUUUAUUAUUUAAGAAAUGCUAUUGCCCGAGUCAACGACUCAUCAGUUAACUUUUUCACUAUUAAAAAAAAUAAAAAUAAAAAAAAGUUUUACAACCAUACUCUUGUGAGUUGGAACAUUUAGAAGUAAGUUGAAAUAACUUAUUUCAAUCGUAAAAAUUCGACUUAAAAUAUACUAAUGUUUGCUAACAGAAAAUCAUAUGACAAAAAUAAGUCAUAUACCAAUAUACACUACCAGAAAAUCACAUGAUAAAAAUAGCCGUAAGAUUUUAAUAAUAUGUAUGCUUAUUAACAAAUAAUGUUAAAAUUUAGUGUAUUUACUUAAAAUUAUUUUUUUUUUUACAAAAUUAACUUUAAAUAAACUUAUAUAAAGUUAUAAAAACUCUAAUUCGUCAUUUAUUAUAAAAGUUGAACCGUUAAUUUAUGAUUCACACGAAGCGUUAGCCAAUUUUCUUCCAUGAACAUGAAUUCCUCCUAGGGGAUUUUUUGCUUUUAAAUCAUUAAUUUCGAAAAACAAUCGCGCAAAAAUUUUAGGACUGAAAAAUAACACAUAAGUGGUAUUGCGAAUGUAAGAUAGGCUGGCCAAGCCCAACUACAACCAGUUCCUGCACAUACCAAUAUUGCGAAUUGCAUUCUUUUAAUAUUUGGCUGAGUUCAAACAAGAAGAAGAAUACCUCCUACCUGUUGUAUGUUGCCAAAAAUUAAGGUUGUAUUAAUGAAUUUUUGAUAAAGUCACAAUUAUCUUGUAUAAAUUAUUGUGUAUAAAUUUGUCCGUAAAAAUUAAUGUAAUAGGAAGAAGUUAAUUGUAUAAAAUUAUUAUCAACCCAUAAAAUUAAAAAAAUUAAAAAAUUAACUAUUAUCAUUUUCUGUCAAUUUCUUCAUGUUUGUCUGCGACUCUAUCAUCAUGAACUUAUUUUCUUAUAUUAUUAUGUAAGAUACAUAAUUGUCCUGUAAUCAUUCGAUAAAAAUCUAACCACUGUAAAAAAAAAUUCUGUUAUUUUAUAUUUUUACAGUCAUUAAAUUUUCAUCGAACAAUUGUAUAUCUUACAUCAUUAUAUAAGGUAACAAAUGUAUUAUCACCAAUUCAUCAUGGUAUUGAACGGGCAUUCAGCAGUAAUAGGAAAACAGCUCAUAAAAUCCCAAUUGGAACGAUAUGGGCUUCUGAUCAAAGUCAUCACCGGAGCAAAAGCAACUAAUAUAAAAUUAAAAAAAAAGAAAAAAAAAAGAAAAAAGAAAACCAACUUAUAUACACACACACACACACACACUGCUGUACCGUACAUCCGCCUUGGCCGUACAGCAGUAUCCUAUCUUGAUACUUAUAGAUGCACCUUCGGUGAAAAUUUUUUGUUCAAAUCGAGAAAAAAAACCCCAUAAAGGCCAAAGGAAGGGCAUACAUACUUUUAGUCCUUUCCGUUGUUCUAUACAACUCAUCAUGGGAAAGGAGAGUUCUGAACCCUAGCAGACUGAAUUCAAUACGCAGGGGCAUGAGUUUAGAGGAAUCUUGAGUUUAUUCAUGGCAAAAUGCAAUCUAUGGACAUAAGGAAUACAGAUGGUCAAUGGAAACACGCAACCCGACAAUUGGAAAGCCUGAGUCGGGAGCCCAAAACUUGGGUGCUGGGUGGGGGCAGUUCCUUACUCAUUCGAUACAUCUCCUCUCCCUCUUACUUGAGAAAUUGAAGAGAACACCAAAAAAAAAAAAACUGGUUGCUUCUUUCUUAUGGUCUUUUCAAACAUGUCUAAUAAAUAAUCUGAACAGCUGAAAUUUGAAAAGAGAGUUAAAUACGAAAUCAGAAGCAAAGAUACCAAAAAUUAUGAAGGGACUUGAUAUACUACCAAACCAGCCACAUUCACAUCUCAGGGUCAGCUGAGGUUCUAUUGUGUGUAGAUGGGGGUGUGGUUCAGUAAGACAGUAACCAUUAUCAUUAUUAUCAUUAUUAUUAUUUUUCAGAAAUUUAUAGGUAAGUGAUACCCGUAUCUGACCUUUUGUUGAUAUGUCUCUAUGGGGCUAGGUGGUCCAUUUGUCUUUUCGGCAAUAAAUCCUGGGAGCAGAGCACUAAUAUGGUCGGUCAGAAGACAAUUAACCAGGAAGUCCGGGUAUUGAAUCAAUGUAGAAAACUGCAAAAGACAGCCUUUUGAGAGCAGAAGAGUAGAGUUUUGAAGGAAAAGAAAGCGAGGUUCUACAUAAUCCGUCGUUGUGUGUUCAUGUUACUUUGUUGGAGGAAGGAUGGAGAUUAAUCAUCUAUGCUACUUUUGCUCUUAUACUUGGGCAUUAGUUUAGUUAACUCAAAAAACAUGAAGCUCUUGCGCUCAUAGAACUUAGGGAUAGUGAUGUAUGUAUUAUAAGGGGAGAAAGCAAGAGAGGUAAGAGUAUGUGAGAAUGGGGGGUUGUGCGUGUGUUAGGAAGGGGGAGUGGUUAAGCUAGUCCUCCUUCCAUAUAAGUUUUAAAAAUGCAAUGCAAAUUCAGGCCUCUUUUUUUUUUUUUUGGUUCUAAAAUUUUUUAUCUCCUGAAUCUUUUUACUUUUUGUUUGGGGAAGCUUCCAGCUUCAUAUUUGAUGGAAACAGAAAGCAGGAUCACUAUACUAGGUGGUGCUUCAUUAUCUAUGUUUCCUCUAUAAAUAUUCUGGAAAAAGAAUGUGAGACAACUGACAAGCACGCCUAUAUAAAUCAAGAGUUCUCGAGGGCCAGCUUAAGUUGAGAUAUCCAUUGUCUUAGCCCAAGAGUCACAAGCUUAGAAUUUAUUCAGUUGUUCCUACUUGUCAUGCAUAGUCAUAACCUAGAGAUUUUUAUAACACUUCAUAUAGUGAUAAAACAAAUAGAGUAGUUCCUACUUGCCAACCAUAUUCAUAACCUAGAGAUUUUAAUAACACCACAUACGGUGAUAAAACUAACAGAAGAUAUGCAUUUGUCGGCUGCACAAAAGGUUCAUUCAUGACAAAGAGCUUGUGUUGGAGAUACUGAUAAUGCUAAAUUGAGAGUUUUUUUUUUUUUUUACAGCAGCAACUUUUUUUUUUUUUUUUUGCUUGUGUUGGAGAUACUGAUAAUGCUAAAUUGAGAGUUCUUUAUUUUUUUUUGUUUUGGGGGGGGAAGCAAUAGAACAACUCAAAGAAAGAUGAUACCGAAUGGACAUUAGGACAAAUUGGAAACAGCACCAAAGAAGAGGUUACUGCACAAUCAGCUUUAGCAUUAUUGCAAGGCUUCUUCACUUAAGCAAAUGAUGAGGUAUCACUUGCAUAGAAAAUUAGAAAUAGAGUUAAGAUAACAUCGCCAGGCCCAGUAAAAGCAACAAAUACUCAAAAUGAUAUGAAAUACACUACUCAAAAAGCAUCUUGACCAUUACUAUGUCCAGGUGGGUUAAAAUCAGCCCUAAUCUCAGUGAUAAUGAUCCAUAGAGGCCCAGCCAACAGUCAGCUGUGUGCGAUGCCAGAGCGAUCCUCUAGCUGCAGGCAUGAAAAUGAACUAGAAACUUUUUGCCAUGUCCCUGAAACUACAUCUCCAUAAAAAGUAGCAUUGUUUCUAGUUUCAGUCUAGCAAAACUCUACUCUGAAAACAAGCGUCAAAACUAUGGAGAUUCAUUCCUAGCAAUUUUGAUCAAUUAGAUUAAGCAGAUGAAUAUGCCAAUUUCUGGUGGUAUACAUAGUCUUAUGCACUGCAAGUAUAUAUCUACAGAAAACUCUAUUAAUAAGCCAGAGCAAUAAAGUUAUUUGCAGCAGCAAAUUGGUUAUUGAGCCAGCCAAUAAGAGAUGGCAAAGUUGAAUUCCCCCAGAUAAAGAUUUAUCAUGGAAUUCAAUAGCAAAAACGUUGGGGGUGGUGGGGGGGCGCAAAAAAAAAACACAUUCCAGUGAUAUCCUUGUAAAAACAAACAAUCAAAAAAAUUAAUUUUGACCAAGGAUCUUGAAGCAAGAACAAUAAUCAAAUAAAGAAAAAACUUAGUUUCGUUCAUACCAAGACAACUUCAGAGAGGAUAAGGACUUGCAUAUCUUCAAAUUGUGCUGGAAAUUAGAAAACCCAAAAAUAUCCUCACAAAAUACAGCAAAUAUUUGUUCAGCAUUCACAAAAUCGAAUUGAAAACGAAACACAGCCAAACGAACCAGCUCCAACAAUUUCAACACCGUUAUUACACAUUAACUGAGAUUUGAUUAUCCACAUGAAAGCCCUAAACGACAUAUAAAACGCAGCGUUUUUUUGUUGUUGUAAGAAAAGAAAAGAGGUAAAAGGAAUUGAUUAAUAUAACAAUUCAGAUACCAAAGGAAGGGCAGGCGAUGGAUCAAACGAUGUCGUCGGGAGCGUGGGAGUUGCUGGUGAGCGUAAGAGGGCGAUCCUUCGCCUCAUCCUCCUCGUCGUCGUCGGGAUCGGUUGUAGUGAGAUUGACGCAAGAGCAUCGUUCGAGGGACGCGAAGAAGGCGGAGACUACAGUGGCGCUCACCCAGCUUGCCACGUUGCCCAAGCUGUCUCGCGAUAUUAUGCUGUUACUGGGGUUGUUAUCUUCCAUUACGAAUUAGAUUUUAGAAUUUUGUGAGAUAUGAAAAUGAAAAUUGGGUAUUUGCUUUUUGAUUUGGGAUUUGGAUGAAUUGUUUGGAAUUGCGGAUAAAAUAAGAACGGACCCAAUUGUCAGAGACUUGGAAUUAGACCCUGAGAUUUGAGAUUUCAUUAUUUAUAUAUAUAUAUAGAUUUUAGGUAACUCUCCC